rnacentral:rRNA from 1 species
AUGGUCAGCCAUGCCACCCUGAACAAGCCCAAUGUCUGAUCUCGGAAGCUAAGCAGGAUUGGGCCUGGUUAGUACUUGGAUGGGAGACCACCUAGGAAGACCAGUUGCUGUAGGGA